AGUCUGCUCAGCCUGUGUUAGUGGAGAAGAGGGAAGGAAACUGGCUGGAGGCCGCUGGACCCACAGAGGACAAUAGACAAUCUCCUGCUGAUGCCCACUGGAUCCAAAGAGAGAAACUCUAUAGAAUUAUGAUCUAGGUUUGACUGACUCCUGGCAAGAAGCCCUACCCGCCAGCCAAUUUGGAUGAGGUCACAGGGGUCAUCCAUCUUUCCUUCUAUGUGACUGGUUUGCUCUUGCAUAUCAUGUUUUCCGCUCUUAUGCUCCAGAUCCAUCAUGAGAAGAACAUGCCCUGGAUUCCUGCUAUCCCUUUAGCCAUGGCUCCAAAAUUAACACACACAAGGAAGACCUGAGGUCAAUCCACAGCCUGGAUUCAAGUCACCUAAUACAUAGGAGAAUCAGAGCUACCCAGCCACACUCAAUCUACGUUAACUGAACCUCAGCUGACCUGCAGAUUUAUGAGUAUGAGAAUAAAGGCUUGUUAAUGUAUAUCAUU
ensembl:lncRNA LINC01980 long intergenic non-protein coding RNA 1980